CCAAAAAAUAAAUUUUCCCAAAGUUUAGCAACUUAAAACAACAAAUAUUUAUUAUCUCAUAGAAUUUCUGAGGGUCAAGAACCCACAGAUGGGCUAACUGGAAGGUGCUGGAUCUUCAUGAGGAUUUCUGAUGAAGUUGUAGUCAAGCAUCAGCCAGGGCUGCAGUCAUCAGAAGGCUCAACUGGGAUCCUAUUCUAAGAGCUGCUGUCCCUUGGCCAGGAGGGGGCCUCUCCCAGCUCCUCCCAGCAACUCGGAGCAAUAAGUGAAGAUGUCAGCACCUUGGACAGCGCCCAACCCAUUACAGGACGCGGAGCCAGCGGAAGCCAAGCUCUCCACCUCCCUUAGCCUCUGGGUGAUGGAUUUCCUCUCUUCUCAAUUUGAUUAAAGCCCAGUAGAUAACCA